ACCCUUAACACCACACGCGGGGGACCUAGGUCCCCCACCGCACCGAUUGUAGCAAAUAUUUUAAGUACUUUAAACCCGAUGCGCUUGAGUUUUCUGGUAUUCUCAGUGCCGCCCAAGAUCUCGCGGGGAGUUGAUGCGCACCUGGCUACUGUUCUUAGUUUAAGAGGUUAGUUGCGCAAUAUGGAUAAAAGUUUGAAUCCCCAACAGAUAGAAAAUGUCUUAAAUGAGUUAGACUUAGAUGAAAAUGAGAAUGAGGACAUUUUUUCCGGAACCAUCAUCGGAUUUGAGUGACGCGUAGUCUGAAAUCAGUGAUCACGAUACCGAAAGUGAAAAAGAAGCGGAAAGUAUCUCUGAAAACGAAGACUCAAGUGACAACUAUGAACAACGCCAAAACAGCAAUGCUUAUUAUGGCAAAAACAGAUAUAAAUGGUAAACAGUACCACCGUCACGAUCCGUGAUCACUCGGGUGCCAGCUCAUAACAUUAUUGUUCAUUUGCCUGGUCUGAGAGGCCCUGCACAAGCCAAGAAUGAAAUGUCUCCUCCAUUGGAAGCAUGGUCUUGUGACUUGUCUAUUUACUCAAGAUAUGAUUGAUUUGAUUUUAGAACAUACGAAUGAAAAAAUCACAAAUUAUUCAGAAAAUCAUACAUCUGACUCAGCCUACACUUACCACGUCAAUAGAGACGAAAUUUUGACAUUUAUUGGGUUGAUGUUUCUAACAGGAAUAUUCAAAUCAGCAAGAGAAGAUGCUAGAGGCUUGUCGAAUGUCAGAAAAAAACAUUAAUUAGGCUAUUAUUAUUAUUUUGAUAGAAAAUAUGGAGACUGAAAUAAUGUUCCUCAAUUUG